rnacentral:rRNA from 1 species
GACGAACGCUGGCGGCGUGCUUAACACAUGCAAGUCGAACGGAAAGGCCCUGCUUUUGUGGGGUGCUCGAGUGGCGAACGGGUGAGUAACACGUGAGUAUCCUGCCCUUGACUUUGGGAUAACUUCACGAAACUGGGGCUAAUAUCGGAUAGGAUCUCCUGCUGCGUGGUGGGGGUUGGAAAGUUUCGGCGGUUGGGGAUGGACUCGCGGCUUAUCAGCUUGUUGGUGGGGUAGUUGAUUACCAAGGCUUUGACGGGUAGCCGGCCUGAGAGGGGGACCGGCCACAAUGGGACUGAGAUACGGACCAGACUGCUACGGGAGGCAGCAGUGGGGAAUCUUGCACAAUGGGCGGAAGCCUGAUGCAGCAACGCCGCGUGCGGGAUGACGGCCUUCGGGUUAUAAACCGCUUUCGCCUGUGACGAAGCGUGAGUGACGGUAAUGGGUAAAGAAGCACCGGCUAACUACGUG